UUCCAAAGACGAGACGUUGGUGAUGUUCUGCUGCUGCCGGGCGGGCCAGCCUGUAGCUCAGGCGUUGGCGGGAGCCUCGUGCUCCGCGGGGCUUCUUGAAGAGGGUGAGGUGUGGGGGUACCGUCCUGUAGGCAGGGCUGUGUGUGCCCCCCGUGUGUGCUUGGUGAGCUGUGUUCUGAGAGACCCCCUGUACUCAGGUGGGAAUGUGGCCCCGGCCUUUCAGAGGCGCGGGGCCGUGAGAUGCGGGGUGGGGCUUGCGCCCUCCCUGGAAUCGGGGCUGGGAUCCCGACUGCGGCCUUUGGCCGUGCCGCCCCGCUGCCUGGCUGCUGAGAGUUGCUCCUGCCGCUGGGGGGGAAACCGAGCUCUGUGGCUCCAGGGGUGUUGUCCACCCGCCUGUAAUCAGGGUCUGGGUGCGCGAGCGUUUGUGCUCUGCUGGCAGCCUGUGUGGGGUGACCGCCCCGCUAGCGGGGUGUGGGUCGAGGUGCCCCGGACUGGGAGAGAAGGAGCCUCCCUCGGCCGUAGGGAUGGGGGCUGCCCUGUAAGUCAGGGAGCAUCUGUGUCCCGGAGUCCCAGGCCCUUUUCAAUGGCGGCAGUGGCCGGGGGUCCCCUGUAAGCAGGGAAGCUGACUCUUUGGCUGCUGCUUUUUGUGUGCCCAGCCCCAUUUGCCCAGUCUGCCCGCCUCUGUGAUCCCCCGCAGCACUGGCUGGAAGUCCACCGCGUGUCAGUGAGGAGCUGCUGCAGAAGGAAGAAGAAGAAGCGGCGUGGGGACCUGGGAGGCAGGAGCAAGCAAGAAGAGGAAGCGGAAGCGUGCAGAUGCGGGGGGGAAGGAGAGAGGCUCCCUGGGCAAAGCACCUGUCCCGUUAGCAGGGGCACAGUCACGUUUGAGUUGAGAGCUGCCGGCGCCUUUGGUGACCAGGCUGGCGUUGUGCUGGGCGACCUCCCCGUAAGCGGGGCUCGGGUCUUUGCUGUAGUUGGCCUUUUGCCUUGCUGCUCCUAGGGCUGCCUGGGGAGCGUGGCCCCCUGUAACGGAGGGCGAGAGCCACCUCUCCGCACCUGAGUGGGAAAUGGAGCUCGCCGGACCCCAAGGCCACCCUGUAAGUAGGGUAGUGCCGUUUCCCUGCCCCUCUUCC
ensembl:lncRNA